GUUUUAUUAGUAUAUAAGUAUAUUUAACUUCCAAUUAAAAGGUUUAUUAAUUAAAUAAAACA
rnacentral:tRNA from 3 species